rnacentral:rRNA from 1 species
GAUCUGGCUCAGGAUGAACGCUAGCUACAGGCUUAACACAUGCAAGUCGAGGGGCAGCAUGGUCUUAGCUUGCUAAGGCCGAUGGCGACCGGCGCACGGGUGAGUAACGCGUAUCCAACCUGCCUUACACUCUUGGACAGCCUUCUGAAAGGGAGAUUAAUACAAGAUGUUAUCAUGAGUAAGCAUUUUCGCAUGAUUAAAGGUUUACCGGUGUAAGAUGGGGAUGCGUUCCA